rfam:Nelumbo nucifera unplaced genomic scaffold scaffold00210, whole genome shotgun sequence
AGGCCAUGGUGUGGGCACUUACUCAUCAACUCUUUCAUUCUUUCCCAAGACUCAUGAAUUUGUUCACCCGGUGUUUGGGUGAAUCCAGUGAUGGCUCUUCUCAUGGU